rnacentral:misc_RNA from 1 species
AGAGCGAUGCUUUUGACUUGGGAUUUCCUAAGGGAUGUGACUGGUAUUUCAUGAUUUGUGGGCCACUCACCCACAUAAACUGGCAAAAACUUUCCCCUUGGUGUUGAUGGAAGUGUUUAUCUCAUUGUGCAAGUGGAGCUCUUGUUGCUUACAUCACUUGAGGCUUUCUUAGCGGACAAGCAGCGUCCUAUUUGUCCCAUGAUUCACAGAUUCACUUUUUUUUUUUUUAAUUCACAG